rnacentral:misc_RNA from 1 species
UUUCCGUAGGUGAACCUGCGGAGGGAUCAUUAACGCAUCUCUGACGGCGGAGGCUCGCCCUGCUCCGGACCGCAAGGCCGUGCAGCGGGCGCUCCCGAGUCGCUCAACCAUCGCAAACCCACCGUGCCCUCUUGUCGGCGAGGGGCCUAGCGCCCCGACCCGGAUCGCAAACACCUCUUUUAAAACCGGAUCAUCAGCGGACCUGCGUGCCGCCUAAACUUGCACAACUUUCAACCACAGAUCUCUUGGCUCUCGCAACGAUGAAGACCGCAACAGCGC